GACGAACGCUGGCGGCGUGCUUAACACAUGCAAGUCGAACGGAAAGGCCCCCUUGUGGGGCACUCGAGUGGCGAACGGGUGAGUAACACGUGAGUAACCUACCCUUGACUUUGGGAUAACUUCAGGAAACUGGGGCUAAUACCGGAUAGGAGCUCCUGCUGCAUGGUGGGGGUUGGAAAGUUUCGGCGGUUGGGGAUGGACUCGCGGCUUAUCAGCUUGUUGGUGGGGUAGUGGCUCACCAAGGCUUUGACGGGUAGCCGGCCUGAGAGGGUGACCGGCCACAUUGGGACUGAGAUACGGCCCAGACUCCUACGGGAGGCAGCAGUGGGGAAUAUUGCACAAUGGGCGGAAGCCUGAUGCAGCAACGCCGCGUGCGGGAUGACGGCCUUCGGGUUGUAAACCGCUUUCGCCUGUGACGAAGCGUGAGUGACGGUAAUGGGUAAAGAAGCACCGGCUAACUACGUG
rnacentral:rRNA from 1 species